rnacentral:rRNA from 1 species
UACCUACGGGGCGCAGCAGUGGGGGAUAUUGCACAAUGGGGGGAACCCUGAUGCAGCGACGCCGCGUGGGUGAAGAAGCGCCUCGGCGCGUAAAGCCCUGUCAGCAGGGAAGAAAAUGACGGUACCUGAAGAAGAAGCCCCGGCUAACUACGUGCCAGCAGCCGCGGUAAUACGUAGGGGGCAAGCGUUAUCCGGAUUUACUGGGUGUAAAGGGAGCGCAGGCGGAUUGACAAGUUGGGAGUGAAAACUACGGGCUCAACCCGUAACCUGCUUUCAAAACUGUCAGUCUUGAGUGGUGUAGAGGU